rnacentral:rRNA from 1 species
UACGAAGGGGGCUAGCGUUGCUCGGAAUGACUGGGCGUAAAGGGCGCGUAGGCGGUUCAUACAGUCAGAUGCGAAAUUCCUGGGCUCAACCUGGGGGCUGCAUUUGAUACGUGUGGACUAGAGUGGGGAAGAGGGUCGUGGAAUUCCCAGUGUAGAGGUGAAAUUCGUAGAUAUUGGGAAGAACACCGGUGGCGAAGGCGGCGACCUGGUCCUUGACUGACGCUGAGGCGCGAAAGCGUGGGGAGCAAACAGG